rnacentral:lncRNA from 1 species
AGCUAGUUGUGACCUUACUGGACCAGCUAGUUGUGACCUUACUGGACCAGCUAGUUGUGACCUUACUGGACCAGCUAGUUGUGACCUUACUGGACCAGCUAGUUGUGACCUUACUGGACCAGGUAGAUGUGACCUUACUACAUCAGAUAGUUGUGACCUUACUGGACCAGCUAGUUGUGACCUUACUGGACCAGCUAGUUGUGACCUUACUGUACCAGGUAGAUAUGACCUUACUGGACCAGGUAGCAGUGACUUACUGGACCAGGUAGAUGUGACCUUACUGUACCAGGUAGAUGUGACCUUACUGGACCAGGUAGCAGUGACUUACUGGACCAGGUAGAUGUGACCUUACUGGAGCAGCUAGUUGUGACCUUACUGUACCAGGUAGAUGUGACCUUACUGGACCAGGUAGAAGUGACUUACUGGACCAGGUAGUUGUGACCUUACUGGACCAGGUAUUUGUGAUGUCACUGGACCAGGUAGGUGUGACCUAAAGUGGACCAGGUAGAUGUGACCUUACUGUACCAGGUUGAUGUGACCUUACUGGAACAGCUAGUUGUGACCUUACUGGACCAGGUAGAUGUGACCUUACUGAUAGACUCAUACAGUUGUGACCUCAUCAAGAAGUAUGGGAAGCAUGCUCCACAGGUGACCUCAACACACGUCAUGGUAUACCUCCAGGCAGGUGUAAGUUUGCAUUAGACAACAAGUGUGUUUAUCUACAUGAAGUCGUGACGACCACUACGAUCUUCACUCCAUGAUAAUUAACCUGAAAAUGUAUUACCUGAGCUAUAUGUAUUUAUUUUAAUAUAUUAAAUAUAUUUAUAAAAUAUAA